CUCAAUCCACUUUAAUCACAAGAUCACCAAGACAAAACAUUUCAAAUCUUCACGAGUAAAUGUCAUCAUUCAAUCCCAAUAUAGUCGCAACUAAAACAAUCUUAUAAUAACGUCCAAGGCAAUCAACAAGAUAAUUCCACAAGUCAUUCCACAUCAAUCACAAUAACGCAGUCAUAGUUUAGGCAAUGAUAUGUGUAACACCCUGUUUUUCCCAACUUAAAAAUUUCAUAACAAAUAAUCAGAGUUUUUCACAUAAACGGAAUGCUACACUUCUUAAAAAUCAUAAAUGGAAUAAUUAACUAAUUAUCCUUCAAAAUAUAAUCAACAUAAUAAUCAAUAUUUCGCAGCGGAUUAAAUUCAACAACUAAAAUAGUCUUUGGUACGAAGGCCUCAUCAUAACAUCUCAUAAAAUCCAAACUAAAUUAUAGUCAUGUAAAAUCAUAAGCAAUACGUAAGGAAUAGAAAAUAGCCACAAAAGUUCACAUCCCGUUACGUAUCAGAGCACCUAAAGACACAGUGAGAGGUAGCCACUCACGACAGCAAUCAACAGCUACUUAUUCUCGAUCACCUGCAAGUUACUCAUAUGAAGAGCAACAUUUCCAAACAGAAGGGGUGAGAUUCACAGUCAUUAAAUAAUAGACAUAUAAAUCAGUGACGACAUUUAACAAUAUAAGCAAUAACAAAUUGUUCAACAUUAAUAUUUCAUGUCUCUUCAACCACAAUAAACAUUGACCACUCAGUCAACAACGACACCUACUACGACAAUGCACGACACAACGACAAAUGCCACAAUGUAACAACCCAACAUUAAUAUUUCAUGGUUUGGCAUCAACAACAACUUCAACGAUUCGAUGACAACAACGUCAACCUGACAAUACACUACAUGAGAGUUCACCACCUCCUAUAAAUACAACAACGUAAGAGUACACCACCUUUCGCAAAACAACAACGUAAGAGUACACCACCUCUUAUAAAACGACAACAUAAGAGUACACCAUCUUUCGCAAAACAACAACAUAAGAGUAUACCACCUCUUAUAAAACGACAACAUAAGAGUACACCACCUCUUAUAAAACAACAACAUAACAGUACACCACCUCUUAUAAAACGACAACAUAAGAGUACACCACCUCUUAUAAAACAACAACAUACAACUCAACAACACUUACAUCAACUUAUAACUCAACGGCAUCAACAACAAGGAUGAUUUUCAACAACAACGACAGCAUUGCAUAAUUUACUUAUGACUUACUUCGCAACUUGGUCAACUGUGACACGACAACCUUUAACAAUGAAAUCCAUCAACAUAGUAUGUAUUCACAUGGUCAUAUACACAUAAUUCAUUAAUCAACAAUCAAUCAUGUUCUUGGUAAACAAUGCAAUCACAUAUAAUCAUCAUCAUAACCAAAAGAAUCCACCAAAUAGUACGCACGACAAGGUACACAAACAUAGAUGCGGCUUCAGCCACUGUGCAACUCGCCUCGCGAGUGCACUGCUCGCUAUGGCGAACUCAAGAAAAGGGGUAACUCGCUAUGGCGAGUAAGUUGUUCGCCGUGGCGAGUAGAAAAUAGCUGCUCUCGAGAGUUUUGACAUUUUUCUCACUAAAUCCUCUCAUUUACACAGCAUCUAAUCUUUCAUCAAUCCAAUUCAUUAUCUAAAAUUAUUAUUUCAGACACGUUUAAAUAAUAGUACAAAUAAAUUCAAUAUAACUAUCAUACCUAUAAAAAUCACCAUAAAAUUGUAGUAUAUUAUUUUAAUUAUUAUAGUUGCAAUUCUUCAGAUGAAAACAUGUAUGUAUAAAUCGCCAAUUAGUUAGUAUAUGUGCACUUGGAAUAUGAAGUAGCAACAAGUCACAAUCAUUGAUAUUCAAUGUCAACUAGUCAUAGAUAAAAGUGUUAACUAAUUAGUUGUAUGUAUAUAUAUUCACCGUAUGUAACCUCUAAUCGUAUGUAACCUCUAAUCCUGAAACCGUGAAUCACAAUUGAUAAUCAUAAGAGCAGAAAUUCACAUAACUGUAAAUCGAAGGACAUAUAUAAAGAAUGGUAAUUCAAAGGACACAUAUCAUCAAUUCAUAACUCAUAGUAAAUCGACGUCUUAAAACAGAGCUGAAUUUGAGAAAAUAUUCAAUUCAAUAGAGUUAGGUUUUUAUCCAAGUAAAUUAUAUCACAAAAAUUAUUAUCCAAAAAUCCAAAAUUAAUAUACCGUGAAAGAACAUGAAAAUAACAAAGAAUCAUCGAAGGAAUCAGAAAACAAUGAAAAUUAACAACCCUUCACUACCCACAUGAGUAAACAACCCUUAUGAUGAAUAAAACUCCCCCUUACUUAAUUCAGACGAACAAAGCUCUACGAUCUCCACUUGGCUCUCCUUGGCUUCACUCCAUUUUUCUCCCCAAGUGCUUGUUUUUCCGUGAAACUGAUUUCUGACUUCUCAAUUUCUAACUCCUUAAUUUAACUCCCAUUUAUUUCUAAUUAACUCCAC
rnacentral:lncRNA from 1 species